UACGUAGGGGGCAAGCGUUGGUCCGGAAUCAUUGGGCGUAAAGCGCGCGUAGGCGGCCCGGUAAGUCCGCUGUGAAAGUCAAAGGCUCAACCUUUGAAUGUCAGCGGAUACUGGCCGGGCUAGAGUCCGGAAGAGGCGAGUGGAACUCCUGGUGUAGCGGUGGAAUGCGCAGAUAUCAGGAGGAACACCAAUAGCGAAGGCAGCC
rnacentral:rRNA from 1 species